UGGGAGCUUGCUCCCUGAUGUUAGCGGCGGACGGGUGAGUAACACGUGGGUAACCUGCCUGUAAGACUGGGAUAACUCCGGGAAACCGGGGCUAAUACCGGAUGCUUGUUUGAACCGCAUGGUUCAAACAUAAAAGGUGGCUUCGGCUACCACUUACAGAUGGACCCGCGGCGCAUUAGCUAGUUGGUGAGGUAAUGGCUCACCAAGGCAACGAUGCGUAGCCGACCUGAGAGGGUGAUCGGCCACACUGGGACUGAGACACGGCCCAGACUCCUACGGGAGGCAGCAGUAGGGAAUCUUCCGCAAUGGACGAAAGUCUGACGGAGCAACGCCGCGUGAGUGAUGAAGGUUUUCGGAUCGUAAAGCUCUGUUGUUAGGGAAGAACAAGUGCCGUUCAAAUAGGGCGGCACCUUGACGGUACCUAACCAGAAAGCCACGGCUAACUACGUGCCAGCAGCCGCGGUAAUACGUAGGUGGCAAGCGUUGUCCGGAAUUAUUGGGCGUAAAGGGCUCGCAGGCGGUUUCUUAAGUCUGAUGUGAAAGCCCCCGGCUCAACCGGGGAGGGUCAUUGGAAACUGGGGAACUUGAGUGCAGAAGAGGAGAGUGGAAUUCCACGUGUAGCGGUGAAAUGCGUAGAGAUGUGGAGGAACACCAGUGGCGAAGGCGACUCUCUGGUCUGUAACUGACGCUGAGGAGCGAAAGCGUGGGGAGCGAACAGGAUUAGAUACCCUGGUAGUCCACGCCGUAAACGAUGAGUGCUAAGUGUUAGGGGGUUUCCGCCCCUUAGUGCUGCAGCUAACGCAUUAAGCACUCCGCCUGGGGAGUACGGUCGCAAGACUGAAACUCAAAGGAAUUGACGGGGGCCCGCACAAGCGGUGGAGCAUGUGGUUUAAUUC
rnacentral:rRNA from 2 species